rnacentral:lncRNA from 1 species
AAACAAGCCAUUCAUUUAUAUAACCUUCUUACCUCAUAGUAAUUGACAUAUUUCCAGUCUAUAUCAGCUACUCUUAAGUGCUGUCAUCAACUGAAAACGCCUAGUUGAUAGUCUGAGCAUUAGCAUACACUAAAGUUAGUGCUAAUAGAGUUUUACUAUAGUAUCAAUCUACUCUUUAUCAUGACAAAAUGGUAAAAGUUAGUUAAAAGGUAACAAACCUGAGGGCAAUACCAUAUUGAUUUAUUAAUAUGAAGGGUUAUAAAUCCACUUAGAAUUUGAAAGUUUCCUAAGCCACAUUGAAGUAUUCUGGACUUAAGAGUGUUUCUUUGACAGUUAGGGUAACAGGAUGCUUGUAUUCAAAGGUGAAGAUUUAUGAUUUUUCAUAUUGAGCCGAAAAGUUUUAUAUGUUGUUUAGUCCAAACUUUAGUGGAUUAACUGUACCUCUUCUUUUUGGUUAAGGAGAGAUAGAAACUCAACUUGAACUUAUUUAACCUUAAAAGUAAAUGGAUUGUGAGAUCCAAGGAAAGAUUGAACAACCACAUCACAAGAAGGGUAAUGGUGCAUUUGGGCCUCAGGAACCAGUGGAAUAGAGGCUUGAAUGUGGUCCGCACACCCUCUCGCUGUCUUGUCCCUCAAGUUGACUUUAUUCUCUCUCACUUCAGAUUGGCUUUCUUCAAAAGACAUGGCAAUAAGCUUGGCCUUCAAGAUUUCCC